AAUGAACGCUGGCGGCAUGCCUUACACAUGCAAGUCGAGCGGCAGCAUGACCUAGCUUGCUAGGUUGAUGGCGAGUGGCGAACGGGUGAGUAAUGCAUCGGAACGUGCCUUUUAGUGGGGGAUAACGUAGCGAAAGUUACGCUAAUACCGCAUAUUCUCUGAGGAGGAAAGCAGGGGACCUUCGGGCCUUGCGCUAGAAGAGCGGCCGAUGUCGGAUUAGCUAGUUGGUGAGGUAAAGGCUCACCAAGGCAACGAUCCGUAGCGGGUCUGAGAGGAUGAUCCGCCACACUGGGACUGAGACACGGCCCAGACUCCUACGGGAGGCAGCAGUGGGGAAUUUUGGACAAUGGGCGCAAGCCUGAUCCAGCCAUGCCGCGUGAGUGAAGAAGGCCUUCGGGUUGUAAAGCUCUUUCGGCUGGGAAGAAAUCGCACCCUCUAAUACAGGGUGUGGAUGACGGUACCAGCAUAAGAAGCACCGGCUAACUACGUG
rnacentral:rRNA from 1 species